GUCCUAGCCGUAAACAAUGUGCACUUGGUGUAAGCCGGUUUUCGGUUUGUGCCGAAGUUAACGCGAUAAGUGCACCGCCUGGGGAGUACGGUCGCAAGUCUGAAACUCAAAGGAAUUGACGGGGGCCCGCACAAGCGGUGGAGCAUGUGGUUCAAUUCGAUGCAACGCGAAGAACCUUACCUGGGUUUGAACUGUUUUUGAAUAUUCCAGAGAUGGAAUAGGCUAGCAAUAGACAGAAACAGAGGUGCUGCAUGGCUGUCGU
rnacentral:rRNA from 1 species